AGCCUUGAUUGGAGCUGUGUGUUAACUUGCCACUGCUUCAAGGAAGUGUUGCACAGAUUCAUCAAUACUCAUUUUCCUGUGCCAUGACUGCCUGUCUCAUUCUACGGCCACUGGGGUCUUGUCUGCAACAUAAAAUGGACAAAUAUUGCCAUGUACCACUGGCACAGUAUCUUGAUAGUUUGCAAGAAGAUGUUAAGGAGUUCUUGUUUCCAAGUUCUCUUGAUGUGUUCCAUUCCGUAGAAACUUCUUUGGUGUCAUGUUUUGGUGCCAGUAAAUAGCACUUGAAGAGCUUGACAAGUAUUAUGUCCUUGCAACGUCUCUUCAUGAAAUGAGUUUGAGCCCAGAAGAAUCAGUAAAGAUUUUACCACGCAGCACAAAUCUGCUAGCUACUUGGUCACCCUUGCUCUGUCCUUGGAUGAUAACAGCCAUCCUUAUCUAGUAAUGUUCAUCUUCAGAAAUUUUUACAAGCAUUAGCUAAUGAACUCUUGGAGCACUGUUUAACCUUUAAAAAAUGUGCAUGAAGGAAAAGUAAAUUAGAGAUGUUAUGUAGUACAUACUUUUUCUGUAUUGCCUUUCUUUAUUAAAAAAAAAAAAAAAAAAUUCUUGUUUUAACAGGAAAAAAAAAAAAAGGAAGAUUGAGGACUUUCUCCUGUGCUUUGCUAAGGAAUUACAUCAGUUAGAAUGAAAGGCAUUCACCAUUCCCAUGUUAGUUGCUUGGCCUUGGUAGGAUUUGUGUUGGAUGUCUCUUUGGGUUGCCAAGUUACUAUUUGUAUGAUUGACAUUUAUAGUGUAUUAUGUAGAAUAAUUAUUGACUUGUUUUCAAGUUACAUGUGAGAAUCAAUGAUAAAAAUCUCAGUAAAGGAGGUGUAAAUUUUGUAAUAUUAUAUAUCUGACUGUAGAUUUC
rnacentral:lncRNA from 1 species